rnacentral:rRNA from 1 species
GACGUAGGGCGCGAGCGUUGUCCGGAUUUAUUGGGCGUAAAGAGCUCGUAGGCGGCUUGUCGCGUCGUCCGUGAAAACUUGGGGCUCAACCCCAAGCUUGCGGUCGAUACGGGCAGGCUCGAGUUCGGUAGGGGAGACUGGAAUUCCUGGUGUAGCGGUGAAAUGCGCAGAUAUCAGGAGGAACACCGGUGGCGAAGGCGGGUCUCUGGGCCGAUACUGACGCUGAGGAGCGAAAGCGUGGGGAGCGAACGGG